rnacentral:rRNA from 1 species
UAUUGGGCAAUGGGCGCAAGCCUGACCCAGCAACGCCGCGUGAAGGAAGAAGGCUUUCGGGUNGUAAACUUCUUUUAUCAGGGACNNCANNNANGACGGUACCUGAUGAAUAAGCCACGGCUAACUACGUNNNCNCNGCCGCGGUAAUACGUAGGUGGCAAGCGUUAUCCGGAUUUACUGGGUGUAAAGGGCGUGUAGGCGGGACUGCAAGUCAGAUGUGAAAAUUAUGGGCUCAACCCAUAACCUGCAUUUGAAACUGUAGUUCUUGAGUGAUGGAGAGGCAGGCGGAAUUCCGUGUGUAGCGGUGAAAUGCGUAGAUAUACGGAGGAACACCAGUGGCGAAGGCGGCCUGCUGGACAUUAACUGACGCUGAGGCGCGAAAGCGUGGGGAGCAAACAGG